rnacentral:lncRNA from 1 species
AUUUGUUUUGAAGCGAUCUCUGAAUAUUCUGUGUGUAUCUAGGUCAAUUAUAACACGGCAUUGUUCAGUGGCAGGAUAACAUGCGUGAAGAAUUAACUACGUAAUAUAGUGUAUUAAUAAUUUUAUCAAUGACUUGGGAGAAAACAUUUUGGUUUAAAUAUUUUUAUUUAUUUAAAUCGGAAAACAGAAAGAUAAUAUGAUUUUAACAACAACGCUAUUAUAUUUGUUUUGAAGUGACCUCUGAAUAUACUGUGUGUAUCUAGGUCAAUUAUAACACGGCA